rnacentral:rRNA from 1 species
AUGGGUUUUAUCCGGGGCCGUGGAAUCGCGGAAAAAUUCCUCCAUGCCACUGAUCUUGUUCAGACUUGCUUUAAGCGGCGCAUUCCGUCAGUUGUACUCAAGCUUGACUUUCAUAAAGCCUUCGACUCAGUGUCUUGGACGGCCCUCGAUGCUAUCUUACGUGCCAAAGGCUUCCCACCGACUUGGUGCCGGUGGGUGGACCACCUAAACUCUUCUGCCAGUUCCGCUGUUCUUCUAAAUGGGAAGCCGGGCCCAUGGUUUCAGUGCCGUCAGGGCCUGCGACAAGGUGUCCCCUACCCCCCCUAUCUUUUCAUUCUUGUCGCGGAUGUCCUCAAACGCCUCAUCAUCCAGGCUUCCUCCAACGGCAUUUUAUCCCACCCGAUCGCGCCAGACAUUCCUUGCACCGUGCUGCAAUAUGCGGACGAUACGCUCAUCAUUCUCCCACCAGAUGCAGCUCAGUUGUCGGCUCUAAAGGACAUCCUGCUUCAGUUCUCGGAGGCCACUGGCCUCAAAAUAAACUUCCACAAAAGUUCCUUCACCCCCAUCCACGUUGACCCUGAGCUCUCGUCCAGCCUUGCGGCCAUCUUAGGAUGCCAAGUUGCAACUUUCCCCCAAUCAUACUUAGGCUUGCCCCUAUCCACUUGUUGGGGAACGUUGCAGAAAAUUAAAAUUUUUCCUACGGUUUCACCAAGAUCCAUCUAUGAGUUCAUCUAA